rnacentral:rRNA from 1 species
UACGUAGGGGGCAAGCGUUGUCCGGAAUCAUUGGGCGUAAAGCGCGUGUAGGCGGUUCGGUAAGUCUGCUGUGAAAGUCCAGGGCUCAACCCUGGGAUGCCGGUGGAUACUGUCGGACUAGAGUACGGAAGAGGCGAGUGGAAUUCCCGGUGUAGCGGUGAAAUGCGCAGAUAUCGGGAAGGAACACCGGUGGCGAAGGCGGAUCUCUGGGCCAUUACUGACGCUGAGGAGCGAAAGCUAGGGGAGCAAACGGG